GGAUGUGAGGGCGAUCUGGCUGCGACAUCUGUCACCCCAUUGAUCGCCAGGGUUGAUUUGGCUGAUCUGGCUGGCUAGGCGGGUAUCCCCUUCCUCCCUCACCGCUCCAUGUGCGUCCCUCCCGAAGCUGCGCGCUCGGUGGAAGAGGACGACCAUCCCAGAUAGAAGGAGUGUACCGUUCUUCGGUCAAGGGUAUACGAUAGCUGCGCUCCCCUGCUAGAACCUCCAAACAAGCUCAAGGUCCAUUUGUAGGAGAACGUAGGACAAAAAAUCCUUCCCGUGUGUAAACAUGUUCACUCUAGGAAUGUUGUACUUGACUGCUCUUGUGUUU